GAUAUUCCAAAUGAAUGCUCAAAAGAUUGCCUCCUCACCUGCCAGUAGCUAACAUUUCGUCUGCUCAGCCACAUCCAAGCGUUAAUGCCUGAGACAGAAAAUUCUGCAUGACUAUGGAGUUAGAUAUAUGUAACAGCUCAUUUGCAGAGAAAUAUCCCCUACAAGACAGGAAGAUGCUGCUUCUAAUCACACAGCCGAAGUGCGACGUUGUGAGACUGAAAUGGACAACCGAACCAUAUGAUCAGCCUUCUUUUAUGAGAACACUAUGUCAGUCAGUCAGUUUAUGACCUGAAAUUACAUGGGAAGAGUCUGAUCCUGGCCCCGCUGAAUGCAAAGAGUUUCAUUUUGCUGUUCUGUUUAGGAGAUGCAGCUUUGGAGCUCCUGCCAUCAUCACAUCCUCGACCUUUUGUGUGUCAUUAGCUUGAGACUGAAGUUGUCCUGUCCCUCCCGACCUCUCAGCGGGAGCUGAGCUGAGCAGCACCGCGGGCACCCAGCACCCAGGUCCUUCCUGUGUCAGAGGCCUCGGUGGGCUCAGCACGUUUGCAGUGGCAACCAAGGUCCCUCAGCACCAACUAUGGAGGACAUUGCCAUCCCGGUGCCCUCUCUAAGGCCGCUGUAGCCCCAGCUAUGCAGACUCUGAUGCCUUCUCUCAGCACAGCCCCUGGGCUGCCAGAGCUGUGGUGGCUGUCACUGACCGAUGCCAUGGAUGUGCUGCCAUAUCUAACAGCAGCUGUCUUCUCAUCCCAGCUGGGAUAGAGAAGUGCCCUACAGAAGACAAGCAAAGAGAGGAUAUUAUUGAGAGAUGCUGCUAGCAGGUGUGCGUGACACUGCUGUUGUUUGGCCCUUGGGACCCCUGGUUACUGCUGAGAAGCUCCAGGUGCAAGGAGCAGGAGCGGAUGUGAAUGGCAUGGCUGCACUGUGCCUGGCGUGGUUGCUGCAUCACUGCAUGCCUGCUUGCAAUCUGGCACUGCGUGCUACUGCAGAGAUGUUGCUUUGCUCUGACUGCUGUGAAUGUCUUCCGUGUUAGCCUCAGCACUGUGCCUGAGCACUUACCCUGUCACUUAACUUUGCUGUUCGCUGUCUAAAACACUACACCAUCUCCUGUUUCUACCUAAGUCCUAAUCCCUAAGCAUCCAGUUUGCUGUCAGCCCCAUACAGAACCAGCCCUGCCAUCCUAUACAUACCCCACCUUCCUCCAGCAGCAUGUUCUUAAAAAUAAAACUUCCUCUUUCU
rnacentral:lncRNA from 7 species